AAAGGCGCUUUCGGGUGUCGCUGAUGGAUGGACCCGCGGUGCAUUAGCUAGUUGGUGAGGUAACGGCUCACCAAGGCCACGAUGCAUAGCCGACCUGAGAGGGUGAUCGGCCACAUUGGGACUGAGACACGGCCCAAACUCCUACGGGAGGCAGCAGUAGGGAAUCUUCGGCAAUGGACGAAAGUCUGACCGAGCAACGCCGCGUGAGUGAAGAAGGUUUUCGGAUCGUAAAACUCUGUUGUUAGAGAAGAACAAGGAUGAGAGUAACUGUUCAUCCCUUGACGGUAUCUAACCAGAAAGCCACGGCUAACUACGUGCCAGCAGCCGCGGUAAUACGUAGGUGGCAAGCGUUGUCCGGAUUUAUUGGGCGUAAAGCGAGCGCAGGCGGUUUCUUAAGUCUGAUGUGAAAGCCCCCGGCUCAACCGGGGAGGGUCAUUGGAAACUGGGAGACUUGAGUGCAGAAGAGGAGAGUGGAAUUCCAUGUGUAGCGGUGAAAUGCGUAGAUAUAUGGAGGAACACCAGUGGCGAAGGCGGCUCUCUGGUCUGUAACUGACGCUGAGGCUCGAAAGCGUGGGGAGCAAACAGGAUUAGAUACCCUGGUAGUCCACGCCGUAAACGAUGAGUGCUAAGUGUUGGAGGGUUUCCGCCCUUCAGUGCUGCAGCUAACGCAUUAAGCACUCCGCCUGGGGAGUACGACCGCAAGGUUGAAACUCAAAGGAAUUGACGGGGGCCCGCACAAGCGGUGGAGCAUGUGGUUUAAUUCGAAGCAACGCGAAGAACCUUACCAGGUCUUGACAUCCUUUGACCACUCUAGAGAUAGAGCUUCCCCUUCGGGGGCAAAGUGACAGGUGGUGCAUGGUUGUCGUCAGCUCGUGUCGUGAGAUGUUGGGUUAAGUCCCGCAACGAGCGCAACCCUUAUUGUUAGUUGCCAUCAUUCAGUUGGGCACUCUAGCAAGACUGCCGGUGACAAACCGGAGGAAGGUGGGGAUGACGUCAAAUCAUCAUGCCCCUUAUGACCUGGGCUACACACGUGCUACAAUGGGAAGUACAACGAGU
rnacentral:rRNA from 1 species